GCCGGGGGGCCCAGCGGGCGCAACUUUCCCCGGAGCGGCGUGGUGUGCCCGGCAGCGGCACGCCGCUGGGCCCCCGCUCCGCUGGAGUCGUCGAGCGAUGCGCCGUGUGUGUUUGAUGUGUUUUAAAGAUAACUGAAUAAACACGAAAACGUGGGUUGUUUGUUCAGUGCUGUUCCGUGCAGUGAAGAAACGGCCCUUUUGUUUACAAAACAUGCCAAUUGUUAUUCGCUUGUAAGGGAAUUACUCUUCUUUUGAGCAAGGUACAGUCAUAACGUUUGGAAGGAAUACUGCUAAUCACAGCAGAGCCGCACCGAGCUUUCCAACAGUUGGCUCUAAUGAGCAGGACCAUGGCCAAUUUCUCUCAGCAAUUCUAGUGUUUACUCGGACUGUGCCUACAUACCAAAGAUGCUCUUUCUUAUAUAUCAAGUAGAGCUUGCAUGCUGGUGGAGCUUACAGCUGCAGACUGUGGUGUUUAUUAUGAAGGGUUGACUGGAAACAGCUGUUCUGUUAUUCCCAAUCAGCGCAUCCUCUGUCCCUCUCGUCUCCCGAGGUACCAUCUCACUCAGGUUAUUAAAUCUGAUUUAAUUCACCAGCUUCACUGGGCUACAGGACAGCAGGGGGAAUGCAGUUCCAAUUAUAAAGCUCUGUUGGAUGUCCUCCAUCUGCAUCUGGCACUCUCCAGAGGUCACGUUUCAGUAAUUGAUCCAGCCGUCGAAGGCAAAAGAGCAAAAUAAAAAGGAAGGCGAAUGAUGUUGGUGACAGUCUGCGCUGAUAAUGCCACUUCAGACUUGGAAGAAAUCAAACUUGGGAAGGCAGAAGGCACUAGGAAACCUGAACACCUGACUUCCAAGGAGUACCUUUUUUCUGAGAAAAUGCUAAUACGAAAGGAGAAGAGUUGGAGGCAGCUAAUUGGCAUAGAUGUUUGGAGCAUGAUUUGAGAACAGUCUUCUGAGAAUACAAGGGCAAAAUUUUAGGCAACAGGAGAGAGCUUUCUUUUGGGAAUCUGGUCAUUGUCAUGUGGAGAAGCAGUGGAUGAGUCAGUGUUCAAGCUAACCUAAUAGAAAUUCCAUAGAAAGAGCAAACAGGAGGAGCAAGUUGUUGCUGAAGUUCAUUUCUUUUUUUAAAAAAGUUGUUUUUCAAAAAAAGUUGCGGUUUCUCAGGGCUGUUUCUUUCUCCCAGAGUUUAACUAGACGUCCAGUCCCAUCAAGGGAUGUUGUGCACUGCCCUGUACCCUCACUGUAUUAAUUUCUGAUGAAUUGUUUAUCUUACAGCAAUUUGAGACGCUGAAGUCUGUUUCUCAUGCUCUGUCAGACUCUGAGCCAUCUGUCAACUUACAGUAUGGUAAUACAGUGUGUACAUUGCUGGCAUGAAAAUCAAGAGGUAGCACAACAUAAUUGUGUUUAGUUACACCCUGAACAACCUCUGCUUGGUUAACUAGGGAUCUCCUUGCAGUUUUCGAAGUGAGAUGUAUCAGUUUUCAAAGUUGGCAUAUUAGCAUUUCUCCUCUUGUGAAAUAGGAUAGAUAUUUUACAGUGAACUAGUAGCAGCUGUAGUUAUCUGUGAACUCAUUUAAGCUUUAUUUUCUUUUUUCUUUUCCUGCCUUCACUCGUUGCAUGUAAGGCUGUCCAGAAUAAAAUUACAGCGUUGGGAGUAAUAGGUGGUUGGUGAGUAGGAGUUGCAACAGUCUUCUGCUGAAGGAACAACAACAAAAAGCUUGUUUAGUCCCCAGUGACUGCUGUACCUUAAUAACUUUUGACAUAGGACUAGUAACAAACCACUUCAGCGGAAUUUCAAAUGACUGUGUUGGAACUCUACUGAUUCUGUGUUGAACUGCAAAGUGUGAAAAGCCAAAUGCCUAAACAUAGUUGUAGCAUUAAAUACUUUCUCAAGCAAUGCUGAAAAAUAUUUUUUUCCCUAUUACUGAUGCAUUGGGUACAGAAAAUACACAGCAGUAAGACUCAGUGUUGGCUACUACAAUGAUGCAAAAAAGAAGCACUUUUUUAGAGUUUUAGAAAAUAAGACUAAAACAGUUUUAAAGCUGGCAGUGUGUCAGUCACAUUCCAUCUGUGUAGGUAGUUCUAAUUUAACUGUUUUGUCUCGUGAUGUGAUGCUAAUACAUUAAUAGACCUGAGCGUUGUUUUUAUUUUUUGUCUUUGAUGAGUGGCUGGCUGGUCCUUGGCAAGAUGGCUGAGAACUCUGCACUGAUCUGAAGACUAAAGUUGGGCUCUUCCUAUCUAUUCUCUUAAUAUUGAUUCUAGAUCUCAGUGAUUUUCGUAUCUUCUAGGGAAUUUUAAGAAGGUAAUUAUAAUGUAAGCCCUAAAGCUGUAAUUUUAAAUAAGAAGCAGUCUCUCGUGUAACACAAUUCUGACUCUUGAAAGGACAGAAUAAAAAUUAUUCUUUUAAAACUCAAUUCCUGUGGCAAUCCCUAUGCUUCAGCUUUCUGAAACAAAACCAAAAAAACCUUACCAACUACUUUAGAAUGCUGUAACACGUAGCUCUGCAUCCAAAGCUGUUUUUGAGAAAUAGGAGGUCUUUUAAAAAAAAUGUAAAUUGGUUUUCUAACGUAUACAAUUGGGUUGACUCAACCUAACUACUCUAAUCCUUUUUCAGUUUGUUUAAAAAUGAAAAAAAGAGGCCAACAGAAGGCAAAAAAAGAAAAAAAGUAAUAGAAACUUAAUAUUUCUGUUACAGAUUCCCUAAAAGAUGAUAGUGGAUCUGUUAGUAUUGCUCUGUCAUCAAAUUCUUCUGUGGAUUGCCACAUUUGUAUCCAGUCAUUGACACUAACAGCAGCCUGGUAAUUGCUUGGUACUUUAUCCUUAGAAAUGAGAGUAUGUGUUCAGAGCAUUUUUUCCCUUUAACACAGUUCUUGCUCCGAUGCAUUUGAGGUUUAGUGCUUGUAAUGCUUGAAGCAAAGCUUUUGGAUGUUGUUGGCCUUUGUGUGUUUUACUACACGUUGUUCCUUACUGCAGCAUGAGAAGAAAGAGAUGAUGUAAACCCAGUCACAAAAAGAUCAUGUCACAUUGGUUCAUGCACCUCGUGAAGUGUUACUGGCCUGUAGACCCAUGUUAAAGGAGCAUCUUAACAGUGGUUUUCGAUGGCAGCUGUAAAUACAAUGCAUGUCCUAUCAGGAGCCAUGCAUUGGUGGUCAUGAGAUGGGCAUAAAAUACAGAUUUCUUGACUUUGUUAGUCUUUGGCAUUCUGUUGUUACAAGACUGAAGACUUUGUUUCUCAGUAAGAAGAGAUGGUCUGUAAUAGGUGGCUAAUGUUUCUACCACCUGCUCUCAAACAAAUUUUUAUCAUCUUGCAGUUUUUCUGUUGCUUCUCCCCAGCUCCUCCCUCACUGGCUGUGUAUUAUUUUCUUACUGACCAUGUCCAGAUAAGUAGUCUGUUUCUCCAGAACUGAGCCAUUUUUUUUUCUUCAGGAAUGUGGCAGAGCAACAAAUUUUGAAUUUUAGGCAUGCUAUUCUGAUAUAUUUUUUUCAUCAAUAAAAUAUAUACCAUGAAUGGUGGACAGUGUUGAUGCCAGGUGAUGACACUGGAAAAGCUCUGGAUGUGUUUUCUGCUGUCAAUAGAAAGGACAGCAGAGUCCACUUGGAGUGCUAGGACACUAGCACUGUUUUGUUGAGCUGUCAAAAUGUUCAAGUAUCUGCAACAACCCUCUUUAUUUUGUUGUUGGGAAGUGAAAAGCUCUGUAAGCAGAAUUUAUUUCUUCCUUAAGUUUGUCAUCUGUAAUGCUUUGUUACUGUUGUAGAUUUAAUAAUAUUUUGUUUGGGUUUUUUUUGAGAUCAAACCCUUCCUAUUUUUCCCACUCAGUCAUCAUCUCCCUCCUAUUAAGACCAGAAGUUGCUGUAAAAAAAAAAAAAAAAAAAAAAAAAAA